rnacentral:lncRNA from 1 species
UCUCUACCAUUUUCUUUGUCGUCUGUCUUUCUCUUUGGCAUUCUCUCUAUCAGUCCUAUUUUCUUCUCUGUCUUUCAUUUUGUCUUUCUAUCUCUUACCCCUUUCUUAUAGUGUCAACACAUUCAAAUGUAGCUGGAUGGAGAAGAAUGAGAGAGAUGUUAACCAAACAAAGUGUCAAUAGUACCAUUGUUGUAGCGCUACGUCCACCUUGGGUGGCAAAUGAAUUCAAUUCGUAUUUUAUUCUUCCCUGCCAAUAAUUCAUAGAC